rnacentral:rRNA from 1 species
GAUGGACGCUGGCGGCGUGCCUAAUACAUGCAAGUCGAGCGAACGGACGAGAAGCUUGCUUCUCUGAUGUUAGCGGCGGACGGGUGAGUAACACGUGGAUAACCUACCUAUAAGACUGGGAUAACUUCGGGAAACCGUAGCUAAUACCGGAUAAUAUUUUGAACCGCAUGGUUCAAAAGUGAAAGACGGUCUUGCUGUCACUUAUAGAUGGAUCCGCGCUGCAUUAGCUAGUUGGUAAGGUAACGGCUUACCAAGGCAACGAUGCAUAGCCGACCUGAGAGGGUGAUCGGCCACACUGGAACUGAGACACGGUCCAGACUCCUACGGGAGGCAGCAGUAGGGAAUCUUCCGCAAUGGGCGAAAGCCUGACGGAGCAACGCCGCGUGAGUGAUGAAGGUCUUCGGAUCGUAAAACUCUGUUAUUAGGGAAGAACAUAUGUGUAAGUAACUGUGCACAUCUUGACUGUACCUAAUCAGAAAGCCACGGCUAACUACGUG